rnacentral:rRNA from 1 species
GUAAGGAAUAUUGGUCAAUGGAGGCAACUCUGAACCAGCAAUGCCGCGUGAGUGAUGAAGGCCUUAGGGUUGUAAAGCUCUUUUACCAGGGAUGAUAAUGACAGUACCUGGAGAAUAAGCUCCGGCUAACUCCGUGCCAGCAGCCGCGGUAAUACGGAGGGAGCUAGCGUUGUUCGGAAUUACUGGGCGUAAAGCGCACGUAGGCGGUUACUCAAGUCAGAGGUGAAAGCCCGGGGCUCAACCCCGGAACUGCCUUUGAAACUAGGUAACUAGAAUCUUGGAGAGGUCAGUGGAAUUCCGAGUGUAGAGGUGAAAUUCGUAGAUAUUCGGAAGAACACCAGUGGCGAAGGCGACUGACUGGACAAGUAUUGACGCUGAGGUGCGAAAGCGUGGGGAGCAAACAGGAUUAGAAACCCCAGUAGUCC